AGAACGAACGCUGGCGGCAUGCCUAAUACAUGCAAGUCGAACGAACUCUUCGGAGUUAGUGGCGCACGGGUGCGUAACGCGUGGGAAUCUGCCCUUGGGUUCGGAAUAACAGUUGGAAACGACUGCUAAUACCGGAUGAUGACGAAAGUCCAAAGAUUUAUCGCCCAGGGAUGAGCCCGCGUAGGAUUAGCUAGUUGGUGAGGUAAAGGCUCACCAAGGCGACGAUCCUUAGCUGGUCUGAGAGGAUGAUCAGCCACACUGGGACUGAGACACGGCCCAGACUCCUACGGGAGGCAGCAGUAGGAAUAUGGACAUGGGCAAAGCCUGAUCCAGCAA
rnacentral:rRNA from 1 species